UGGGGAAUCUUGGACAAUGGGCGCAAGCCUGAUCCAGCCAUGCCGCGUGAGUGAUGAAGGCCUUAGGGUUGUAAAGCUCUUUUUGCCGGGGACGAUAAUGACGGUACCCGGAGAAUAAGUCCCGGCUAACUUCGUGCCAGCAGCCGCGGUAAUACGAAGGGGACUAGCGUUGUUCGGAAUCACUGGGCGUAAAGCGCACGUAGGCGGAUUUGUAAGUCAGGGGUGAAAUCCCGGGGCUCAACCUCGGAACUGCCUUUGAUACUGCGGAUCUCGAGUCCGAUAGGGGUGAGUGGAAUUCCUAGUGUAGAGGUGAAAUUCGUAGAUAUUAGGAAGAACACCAGUGGCGAAGGCGGCCAACUGGCUCGAUACUGACGCUGAGGUGCGAAAGCGUGGGGAGCAAACAGGAUUAGAUACCCCCGUAGUCCCUGAGCGGGCUGGCAAGGCGCAU
rnacentral:rRNA from 1 species